GUCCAGGGAAGGGAAUCGAACCCACAGUGUUCCGCUUACCGGGCAGAUGCCAUGUCCACUAGGCUACCCUGGA
rnacentral:tRNA from 1 species